GACGAAGGGGGCUAGCGUUGUUCGGAAUUACUGGGCGUAAAGCGUGCGCAGGCGGGCUUUUAAGCCAGACGUGAAAUCCCCGGGCUUAACCUGGGAAUGGCGUUUGGGACUGGAAGUCUGGAGUGCGGCAGAGGGGGAUGGAAUUCCGCGUGUAGCAGUGAAAUGCGUAGAUAUGCGGAGGAACACCGAUGGCGAAGGCAAUCCCCUGGGCCUGCACUGACGCUCAUGCACGAAAGCGUGGGGAGCAAACAGG
rnacentral:rRNA from 1 species